UCUUGUUCUCGUGAAACUACUGCGAACAUUGAUGUCGGGCGGAAUCCCGGAACAUCAAGACCACCGCGCCGUCGAGGAAUCCAGCGUCGAUGCCACUGUCCCGGCGGAGUCCGACGCCAGCACCACCACAGCGAAUGAAGCCCCCGAUAACCUAGACAGUACCAAAGACGACAAUUCCGUGAGAGAUCACGAGUCUUCUUCUGAGGUGGCCAAGGGCCUCUCGACUAUGCUCUCUUCCGUGAUUAGGGAUUUCGAUUCCAGAGCUGAAGAUACGAUCCGAAGCCAGGACCAGCUCUGCUUCGCUCUUAACCGUCUCAACCGAGAGCUUGACCAACUGUUGGAAGAUGCACCCUUGCCAUUCAUUAUGCAGCAUGCUGUCAGGAUUUCCGGAGUUCGAAAAAGAGUUUCAUCAUUAAAUACAGUUUUGAAAUCCAUACAACGGCGUCUUGAUAAUAUUGAUUGCAUGUUGUCUAUGGGCUUGGCACAUGUUGAUGCUAAAAGAUAAUGUAAGAGAAACGGAGGUAAUGGAAAGUCCUGGAAAUGAAAUAUAUAAGUCACAUGCAGAUCAACUUUCAGCAAAAAAUGCAAUCUGAAAGAGCAGCCGGAGAAAGGCAAGACAACAUUAUUACGAGCCAGAAUUAGGGGUUUCAUCACCUUGCAAAUUUGUGAAAGCAAUUUCUUCAAGGCUGAAAUAGUGACUUUGUGGCUGUAGCAGUGGCAUUCAGCUGUAAUUACAUUAUUAUGGAGAGAAGUUGGUUCCCAAAUUUGGAACUUGGAAGGUUUCUAUUAUAACCAUCUGAAAUUAGUACAGAAAUGCAUUCAAUUACUUCCAACCCCGAGAACUCUAAACUUGCAUUUUAGAAGAACUGAGGACUCUGGAGACUGAUGCUUAUCAUUGAUUGAAAUUCACAAGCAAGCUUAGUGGGGAAGGAUUAAACACAAUCCUUUUCUUUUUCCCUGUUAUUGUUAUGCCAGAUGGAUAGGGCACUGUUUGAGUUUUGUUUGUGUGUGAAGGGGGAGGUGCUCUCCAUCCGAAGAGUAUAUCAACUAUCAAACAAUCAUUGCGGUGCUAAUUGCAAGUCUUCUAGAUCCACUAACUUCAAUGUUGCAUUUACUUGUUGCGUGCUGAGGUAUUACAUGCUUGCUUUUUACUUGGUCAA